GUGAGGAAUAUUGGUCAAUGGGCGGGAGCCUGAACCAGCCAAGUCGCGUGAAGGAAGAAGGGUCUAUGGUUCGUAAACUUCUUUUGCAGGGGAAUAAAGUGCAGGACGUGUCCUGUUUUGUAUGUACCCUGAGAAUAAGGAUCGACUAACUCCGUGCCAGCAGCCGCGGUAAUACGGAGGAUCCGAGCGUUAUCCGGAUUUAUUGGGUUUAAAGGGUGCGUAGGUGGUUUGAUAAGUCAGCGGUGAAAGUUUGCAGCUUAACUGUAAAAAUGCCGUUGAAACUGUCGGACUUGAGUGUAAAUGAGGUAGGCGGAAUGCGUGGUGUAGCGGUGAAAUGCAUAGAUAUCACGCAGAACUCCGAUUGCGAAGGCAGCUUACUAAGCUACAACUGACACUGAAGCACGAAAGCGUGGGGAUCAAACAGGAUUAGAAACCCGUGUAGUCC
rnacentral:rRNA from 1 species